GAGCAAUGAGGACAGCAACGCAUCUUGUGAUGCCGGGUGCAUCACGACCGUUUGAAUAUCGGAUGACCUCAGCUCCCCUGAGCUC